GGGAGCUGUACAUGCGGCAGGCCUGGAGGGUGGCCUGUCUGGGAUAGACUCCUCUGGAGAUGCUUCCACAAGAUAAAAUUGAUAAAAUGCCUGGUGGCUUCCAACACAGUGAGAACAUAUGUGCUCUCCCAGUAAAGAGUCUGGGGCUUAAUUCGUGAUAAGACAACUGUGUGAACAAAAUGCAAAUUAUUAACUUCAGGGAAAACAAAGUCUUAGAAGAAAGGAAACGUAGUCUUAAUACUAUGUUCCUCAGCAGUAUUACAUAGCUCAGCAGAGUUACAUAGUCACAAGAAUUGUUGCAAUUAAUCUAACCCAAAUUGUGAUUUAACUAUUUGGGGAGGGUGCAUGGACAGAGAAUGCAAGUUUGUGGUGGUGGUGGUAAGAGAGAGAAUGCCAAAAAUGGAAAAAAUGCAAGAAGCAGCAACAUAGACAGGCUAUUUUGUGAUAAGGAGGAAAUACCAAAAGAAAUAGCUAAAAGGAUUGAAAACCUUUGCCUUUAGGGAGAAGGAAAGGGGAGCAGGGAGCUGCCAGCUUAUGAAAUAAAACGACUUGACUCAUUAUGGACAACACUGAUGGAAACCAAGAUUAAAUUUUAAAAAUCACAAGGCCCACCCAUACUUUUGUUGGAAAGAGGGAAGAAGGGAAAUAAACAGUUUAAAAUCAAGCUUAGGUUGCAGUAGCAGCAAGAUAUUCAGGCAAUCUGAGAUAUGAGACUAGAGCUCAGGAGGCAAGUCGAGGUUUGGAGUAGAGAUUUUGUACUUAUUUAGAUGGAAGAGAAUUAGCUCUAUAGGAAAAAUGAUAUUGAGAAGAAAGAGAAGAGGGCUUGAACACAAACAUUUUGUAAGCGCCGUUUAGAGUGUCAGGAGAGAAAGAGACUCCCUUAAGAGAGCUGCCAAGAAAACCAAGGAAAAGAGGAGUUUCAAUGCUGGGGGAAGGGAGGGUGAACAAGGUCAAGUGCGCAGGGGGUCAAAGAGGCCCAGACCAUUAGAAUAAACAAUGAAAUUUCUAAGGAGGGUAUUCUCAUCUAAGGAUUAAGUUCACACCCUGUAAUGAGCCUUAAAUUAAAAAUAGGUUUUGGGUUUUGGAAUGAUCUUGUAUUUUUCCAGGUCACCACACAAUGACAGUGACCCUGUUUUCAAUAAAUACACAGUUGUCUUUCAUGGUGCAGUUGCACAAACCCUGCAUUAAUAAGAAAGUGAAUCUUAGGGCAUAUUGUCAUUGCCAUUCCCAUACAAAGCUCUGUCCCUGUUUCUUUUUCCACACAAGGGAUGGCAUUGUCUGUGUCAGUGAUGAGCGUUUGAGCUAAAGUUCAUGGCUGGCCUAGGAUCUUCCUUUUGGCUGCACUUCCCCCGUGAUCAGCUGCCUGUCAUAGGCUGUGGUGUUACUGACACCCCAAACAAGAUAGAAGCACAGGAAAACAAACAAAAUGAGGCUGCUUUUCCUUGCAAGCAUGUCAAAGGCUACAUUCAAAAUACCAAAUGUUAUAUUAAGUCUCAUCUUAAGAUGAAAGCAGACUUGGGGAAAGAUUUCACUAUUACAUUUUGCUGAGUCGAAUUCAGGGCUUGGCUUCAGGACUAAAAGCAUAAUUGGUAGCAAAUGUUCCCUAAUCUCACCACAAGUGAUUUUCUCUUUCUAGUGUAGAUUGCGCUACACACUUCCACACCCUCCAAACAGAUGCAAGACGACCAGAAAAGAAGAUUCCAUCUCACGUAUCAGAGGGACAAAUGGUUAGAAGAAUGGUAUUAAUUUGGAAUUCAAAAAGCUUACACCAGUCCACUAAGGACACCCAAAACAGCAUGCUACAACUCAUUUGAAUAAGAAUGUCAUUUUUAAAGCUCUGGAUUAAAGAAACUCAUUUUUGAGGAAAUAAUAAUCCCCUUACCCUACUCUACUCCCAAGCCAACCGAAAGAUCUCUCUUAGUCUACAGCAGCUCCGUGCACAGACCCAAUGCCUUUUGAUCGUCUGCUUGGCCCCCUGGCCAGAUGUGAUGAGGAGCUGGAUGUGGCGAGACAGUUUCCAAAUGUGAUGCUUGUGAGUUUUCUCAGGCCAUAGAGGGCUGAGUGAUUACGGGGUAUUACUCCAGCAGAGGAGCCUGACCACAGAGAGGGCAUCCCGUACAAGAGCCUGCAGCAGCCAGGACCACAUGGCGCAGUAGAAAGGAUGAGAGAGAAGCAAUGAUGUGUUUUGGGUCUCUAAUGUAUUCUAAGAAUGGUCAGUUGAGUCUCCCUUGUUUUCUUUAGAAACCAACUGCUUGAUUAUUGGAAUCUCUUCUAUAACGCUAUUUUAUUGCACUAAGAAAAAAACUUACCUUAUUUUCCAUUCGUAUGACAUCAUUAAAACAACAAACAGGGAAAAAGAGAGAUCAAUAAAUAGUAACAUAAGCGUCUACACAGCAGCCAACAUUGUUAAAAGGAAAAGCAAAUAGUGUCAUUGUUUCCCC
rnacentral:lncRNA from 1 species